rnacentral:tRNA from 1 species
GCGCGUUUAGCUCAGUGGUUAGAGCGCAUCCCUGAUAAGGAUGAGGUCCGGUGUUCGAUUCACCGAUCGCGCAC